ACUCAAAUGAAUAGACGGGGACCCGCACAAGCGGUGGAGUAUGUGGUUUAAUUCGAAGCAACGCGCAGAACCUUACCAGCUUUUGACAUGGGACGUAUAGGGAUCAGAGAUGAUUUCUUUCACUUCGGGUGGCGUCCACACAGGUGCUGCAUGGCUGUCGUCAGCUCGUGUCGUGAGAUGUUGGGUUAAGUCCCGCAACGAGCGCAACCCUCAUUGCUAAUUGCCAUCAGGUAGGGCUGGGCACUUUAGCGAAACUGCCGGUGAUAAGCCGGAGGAAGGUGGGGAUGACGUCAAGUCCUCAUGGCCCUUAUAGGCUGGGCUACACACGUACUACAAUGGCGGUGACAAAAGGCAGCAAUGGCGUAAGCCUGAGCGAAUCCCAAAAAGCCGCCUCAGUUCGGAUUGUUCUCUGCAACUCGAGAGCAUGAAGUCGGAAUCGCUAGUAAUCGUAGAUCAGCAUGCUACGGUGAAUACGUUCCCGGGUCUUGCACACACCGCCCGU
rnacentral:rRNA from 1 species